CUGGUGUUGUUAGAGGCAAAAUGAGUUCUAAGAAGCAAAACAAUGGCGGUAAAGAUUUGGGUGACCAUGCUGGGCAUGGUGAAACCUAUAAGAGCCCUUCUAAAGCUUCAGGCUCAGGCAAGGGCAACAAAUCAGAUGUUGUUGGAAAUGCUGGUCAUGGCAACACUUAUCCCUCUUCUAAAACUUCAGAGUCAAAGAAGAGCAAUAAACCAACUCUUGCAGAAUUAGCCGGUCCUCAUGAUUCAAAGUGAAUCCUUCGAGCCUAUUCAUAUGCUAAGGUUGAAAGCUGAUGGGGGAUUAAUGCUGCAGGGAAUAUCAAUUCUAUGAAGUCUUCUAUUUUUUUUUCUUGGGGUUUAUUUUCAAUGUUUCUUUCCCAAUUAGAGUGAUACAGAUAAUAAAAUGCUUGUAAGUUAUAUUUUCUAUGUUAAUAAAGUAGUAGUUUGAAAAAUAUCAUUGUUUA